rnacentral:lncRNA from 1 species
GAUAACCCACUCAAAUCAGCCCCAACAUAACCCACUCAAAUCAGCCCCAACAUAGAGGAGAAAUAAGAGCCUUAAUGGAGAUAUAAAUAUGAGAGAAGCUCGAAACUUACAAGAUUCGGACGAAAUGAAGACCACCAUGAUGUUCCCGUAAUAACCCGGACCUCAAAUUAAUGUUUUCCAAUUGAUUUUAGAGCUCAAAGUGCGUCCAAAAAGGUUUGAAAUUGGGGAAAUGAAGCUUGUGGUCGAGGAGGAAGCAAGACUAAAAUAGGCCAGCUCCAUUCGACAAUCCUAGCACGUCAUAAAUGACAUGUAACUGCUGUGGGAAUGUACGAAACGCCAAAAAUGCAUGGAAGCUGUGAAAAUGACCUAGAGGGUCAUUACAACUUGUGACUUUCAUUGAUGACCAUUCUUGCUAGCUCUAGGUAUAUCCUUUAAUAUCCAAAGCUCAAGUACUU